rfam:Carnobacterium maltaromaticum LMA28 complete genome
UAAAAUGCAAAGACAAGGAAAGUAUAAUUUAAUAAACCUUCAUUAGAGAACUCAUGCAUGCUGAAAGUGAGUAAGGGGAUUAAGUUUGAAAAUGGCCUUCGAGCAGAGAAUAACUGAACUGUAGUGAACUACUUUAGGUUAUUACGGGAGCACCCGUUAGCGUGCCACAGUAUGACGGAUGGCAAUUUCCAAGUACUGAUAGAGGUAAAGGCAGUGAUGCUUUUAUAAAGCAAGGUGGUAACACGGGAAAAUUUAACUUCCGUCCUUAAG